UUUUCUCGCAUCAACACACACUAAUUUCCGCCUUACUCUGUAACCAGUGACUCAGCACUCACCAUUUUCUCGCAUCAACACACACUAAUUUCCGCGCCAAACACACCCACGCUCUCCCCUAAGCCCCGAACCUGUGUCGUCUUGGGCGGCCGAGGCUUCCUCGGGAGAUUGCUCGUCCUCCGGCUCUUGAACCUCGGCAAGUGGAUAGUCCGCGUCGCCGAUUCGACUCAGUCCCUCCAUCUCGAUCCCUCCGAGCGCGACCCGCUCCUUUCGCAAGCUCUCUCCUCCGGCCGCGCUUCCUUGCACGGCAUCGAUGUUCGCAACACGUCUCAAAUCAUCACUGCAAUUGAAGGUUCAUCUGUAGUGUUCUGUUUGGAUGGGGCUGAUUUACCCAAAGACGAUUUCUACCAGUGCUAUAUGAUUGUUGUUCAAGGUGCAAAAAAUGUCAUCAGUGCUUGUCGGGCGUGCAAAGUUAGGCAGUUAAUAUACAAUAGUUCUGCUGGUGUAGUUUUUGAUGCUUCAAAAGAUAUAUUAAAUGGAGAAGAAUCUUUGGCAUAUCCUUGAAAUUUGAUGAUAUGGCUUGAUUUUCCAAGGAAUUUUCCGAUCGUUUUUCGUUGGAUUUUGGACUUCUAAUAGAAACCGGUGUGUGCAGACAGAGGCCUGUAGCGGCAGACGGUGGAGACCGGCAGGUGAUCAGAGAAGAAGAAGCUGUAUCGCAUAUAGGUGAGACGUACCUAGAGGACGAGCGUGGACAAGCGAAGCUAGGGGGCUACAAUCCUGCUACUUAUCAGUUCUAGGUACCUAUUCAUCAUUGGUGGCUCAUGAGAACUACUUGGCAGUUCUGACGUUCUACUAAAUAAAAACCAUUACUGAAAGUUCCUGCUAAGAUGGCUUGGUACAUCCUAUUGUUCAUCAAAUGGAUAGCCGAAAAGUAUGGAAUGAUAAAAUACAAUGAUUCUAUGUCAGUGCAAUACAUUCGAUUAGUUUCACGUAAUAGAAUGUUCGACUGCACUGCGACCCAAAAGCAGAUUGGGUAUUCACCAGUUAUCUCACGGGAAGAAGGUGUCACAUUAACCAUUGAGUCAUUCUCUAAUUUAGCCAGAAACUCAUCUUUCCCAACUUUCAGAAACUUUAAUGAGGAAUCAAAAGUGGAGAAGGUUGUUUUCCGUUGUAGCAUUUUUAAUUUGAUUUUGCAUGGUCCCAUGGUAAUACGUAAUUUGGUCCCCAGCUUGACUUCUACUGAUGAAAAGGGUUUAAAAUAAGUUGGAACACACCAAGCUGGCAACUUAUACAGGAUUUGCGUUUCAGAAUACAUAUCCAGAUCAAACGUGAUUGUUCAUAUGCAUUCACACAGGCCAGAGGAAGCUUUGUCCUCUGUUUUUGUACUUUUUAUUUUCUUUGAAUGUUUUUUGCUUAUAAUAAAUGAAAAUAUAUGCAUGCUAGAACUUUCAUGAAAGCUGUUUAUUGUUUUAUUUUGACUGUAGAAUGACCUUGAACUGUCACUGCAGUUGCAGACAUUUUGCGAUGGCAUGAUGAGAAGAAAUCUUUUACAUAUUUCCUUGCUUUGAGUAUGUUGUAUUACUGGUUUUUCCUUUCUGGAAGAACUUUUGCCUCGUCUAUUUCCAAGCU